UUUUCAUGGACCUACAGCUCUAAUGGUGCCUUCAAGACACAGGAUUGCUUUAUGCCUCUGGGCAACAGUGUUGCUAACAGGCUUUCUUUAGAUUCUGCCCAGAAGGAGAAGAGAAGAGAGAAGAACAGGACAGACAUCAGAGGUAGAAAAAUGCUACAGUUGCAGCACAACACCAGAAAUGGAGAGGCUUUGGGGUAUCCACACAGAACUAAUUCUCUCUCACCAUCUUUGCACAACAACACUAAAAUCAAUGGAGCUUAGCACUUCACUGUUCAGGAGCCUUCAAGCACAAAACACAGUUCUGUUCUUACUCUCAGUGCCAUCCAAACAAUCAGACUGCAACUUCAUUUCAGAUUUCUAUUCUCAUUCAAGCCUGUGCCACAUCUCAACAUGGAAGUGUGAAUUGGCUAGGUUCGUUAGUACCCUACAAAGACAAAGUAUUGGUUUCUUUCAGGAAUAGAAAACAAAAAAAUGAAAACAGGCAGGUCUUCCCGUUUUGUACCUGACAUGGGCAAUAUGUCAAUAUUGAGCACACCCAGACACCCAUAGCCUCUGUAAGGGAAAUUUCUGGUAUCCUGUGUCUUCAGACUUUCUGUUCUGUUCAAGUAACUCUCCUCCCUUAAUUCUGAACCUGGGAUCUGAGUUGCCUGUUUUUCAUUGUAAGAAAUCAAAAACCAUAGAAAACUGACUUUGCUGCUUUUAGAUUGAG